rnacentral:rRNA from 1 species
CCUACGGGUGGCAGCAGUGGGGGAUAUUGCACAAUGGGGGGAACCCUGAUGCAGCGACGCCGCGUGGGUGAAGAAGCGCCUCGGCGCGUAAAGCCCUGUCAGCAGGGAAGAAAAUGACGGUACCAGAAGCAGAAGCCUCGGCCAACUACGGGCCAGCAGCCGCGGGAAUACGGAGGGGGCAAGCGGUAACCGGAUUUACGGGGGGAAAAGUGGGCGGAGACGGCGAUGCAAGCCGGGAGUGAAAGCCCUGGGCCCAACCCCGGGACGGCUCUUGGAACUGGGUGGCUGGAGUGCAGGAGGGGCGGGCGGAAUUCCAGGUGUAGCGGUGAAAUGCGUAGAGAUCAGGAGGAACACCGGUGGCGAAGGCGGCCUGCUGGACUAAGACUGACGUUGAGGCGCGAAAGCGUGGGGAGCAAACAGGAUUAGAUACCCGGGUAGUC